UUUAGACAAGAUCCCGCUGUGUCAUCCAGGCUAGAGUGCAGUGGUACAAUCUCAGCUCCUGCAGCCUCGACCUCCCUGGGCUCAGUUGCAAGCCCAUGAAGCCGGCCCUGGCUGCUGGGUUCUUGGAGUGCUGGACCUCCCGUGGCAUGUGGCAAGGAGUUGUCAUGGGUUCUCACGACUUAUGAUGAUCAACUACGGGAGACCCAAAGACCACUCAGUCCUUUUUCCAACGAAUGGCUAUGUAUGUCACACUAGCAACAAACAGAACCGCAAGAGCUCCAGCGACAAUGCUGAGCCCGAUCACUGUGCCUUGCAGAGCAGAUGCCCUGUGUACCUCCGCUCCUGUUAAGAAACCAGAGGGUUUGUAAUUGCC
rnacentral:lncRNA from 1 species